AGAGGUAGCAGCCGGAGUGAAGUGAAGCGCACAUUGUUGUGGAAUUACACUAUCUUCCUUACCUCAAGAAAAGAAAAUUGGGUGACCACCAAGAUAGAUUGGACCUAUUAACAAACAGAAAACAAACGGAAGGACUAGAGGACAGAAGAGAUGUUCUAGUUUGCUUCCUGUUGCUGGUGCAGACCUUAUGAGGAGAGAAUACUUGACAACUGCACAUGGCGUGCAAGGAUGCAACUUCCAUCCUCACCAUGAAACUGGAGACCAACUUCACAAAGGUGAAAACUUUUAGAUACAGGAGCAUUCAUACUAGGUUAAUGCUUGGUCAUUCUCUGAGCACGGACAGUUUGCGCUCAGGCCUGUGGAAGAACGCUGGCUCGAGGAUCUCUGAGACUCUCCUGAGGAUGCUCUGCGACUUCCAUGGAACUGCUGUGUUCAGUGUGCAGAGUGGACUACCUGCCCCGUGCUACCGGUGCUUAAUCCAGCAGAGGCCUCUUCACAGACUGUAGUGGACUGCAGGAUGACAACUUCAUUCACCAUGUCCUUUAAUCACAGAUGAAAACCCACAAGCCCAAGGACCUUGAACUUCAGACUUGAGAACAUGGAGCUGCCAUUACCCAGACCCAGGCCCAGAGAGCAGAGUGAAGAGGAGAGCAAAUUGAAGCUUAGAGAUGAACAUUACCAUCCAGGAUAGGGUCGCGUACAGGCUGGAGACAGAAGAGGGUCCACUGGAGUUGGAGGAGGGACUGAUGACAAUUUUUCGUGCUUGACUAGGCUUUUUAAAAAGCUACUUCUUAGGCCACUGUCCGGUGCCGGUUCCUUCCAGCAGCCCGCAGAGGCGGCACCGGUGAGUGCAGUCUGCGCGACCGAUGCCUGGUUAAGAUGGAGAAGUUUCUGCAGAUCGCGCCGCACUCUCUGGCCAUCGUCCUGGGCCCGGCCGACAGCUCCGCAGAGGAGAAGCCCGGGACGGUUCAGCCCUCGCCCCCGGUUCCCACCCAACCCCGGCAGCUCGCCCGACACCACAUCGGGUACGAGAUCUUCGCAGAUUUCAAAGCGGAGAACAUGCAACACUUCUGGAACAAGAAGGUCACAGCCGCGGUGGCCGAGACUUUUUUCCUAGGCUGGAUCGACGAGCAGGUCUUGCUGAUCCAGGGCAAGGAGGAGCAUCUAGAGGCGCUGCGGGAGGGCUGGACACGCAGGGCUCUGCGACCCCCCUCUGGCUUCCAGAUCCGCUGCUUGGGCUGCUACAUGGAAAUCUAUGACUCCUCUGAAGCUUGUGGUGGGGCGACCUUCUUCUCCCAUCAUGUUGUGGUGUGAAUAGUUAUGCCCCCCAUAGACUCAUGUUUGGAAUGCUUGGCCAAUAAGGAGUGGCACAAUUAGGAGGUGUGUCUUUGUUGAAUAGGUGUGGCCUUGUUGGAGGAAGCGUGUCACUGUGUAGGUAGGCUUUGAGGUCUCACAUGAUCAAGCAGUUUCCUUUUGCUGCCUGCAGAUCAAGAUAGAGAACUCUCAGCUCCUUAUCCCGUGCUGUGUCUGCCUGUGCUCUGCCAUGCUUUCUGCCAUGAUGAUAAUGGUCUAAACCUCUGAAACUGUAAGGCAGCCCCAAUUAAAUGGUUUCCUCUAUCAGACUUAUCUUGGUCAUGGUGUCUUCACAGCAAUGGAAACCCUAAGACACAUCACACAGGCAAUGUGGAGGCUUCAUCUUGCACCCCAAAUAGUUACAUAUCUACAAUUCCUAAAGAAGGCAAGAGCUUGACCAGAAGUGAAGCCUUGGCACACAGAGAACUGCUUCCACUCAGGUCAGAGGUCAUUUAUAGGACAAAGCACCCUUCUUUUAUCUGUCUGAAAUCUUGACAAGAACCUGAUUGGACCUGCAGAAGUCACCUGUAGCCUCAUAUGCAAAUUUUCAAGUAGAAUUUGACCAAGUGUGGAGAAAAGUUUGAUUUGGGCCAUUAAAAAAAAUGAAAUCUAGUAAUGAAGAUUUGGACUUAAUUCAGUUUUUAAAAAUAGUGUAUUAAGUAACAAUGUAUUAAAGUUAAAUAAAAGCCGGUUUUGGUUUUUAUGAGUCUGUUGCACUGCCUGCUUCUCUAAGCUGGCUGGUGCUUUUUGGUUUUUCAGUAUCGCAUUUGGUUAAUACGUUUGUAAUGACAUUGAAAGAGAAAUGGUAUGGGUGUAAGUGAUAAAGUUAAACUGAAAUCUAAAUUUCCUUUACUGAAUAGUUAGGCCCAUGUAGGGGCAUAGGUAAAUAUACUUUCUUAAUUUGGUUUGUACCUUCAAAUUUGGUACAUUUAAUUAAAAAGUAUUAUUAUUAUUAUU
ensembl:lincRNA